rnacentral:rRNA from 1 species
UACGUAGGGUGCAAGCGUUGUCCGGAAUUAUUGGGCGUAAAGCGCUCGUAGGCGGUUUGUCGCGUCGAAUGUGAAAACCCGGGGCUCAACCCCGGGCCUGCAUUCGAUACGGGCAGACUAGAGUUCGGUAGGGGAGUCUGGAAUUCCUGGUGUAGCGGUGAAAUGCGCAGAUAUCAGGAGGAACACCGGUGGCGAAGGCGGGACGCUGGGCCGAUACUGACGCUGAGGAGCGAAAGCGUGGGGAGCGAACAGG